rnacentral:lncRNA from 1 species
GCUUUUCCAACAUGGUAUCAGAGCUUUGUUGCUCUUCUUGGGCUGAACUCACUUCUUUUGUCAAUUUCUUCAUCUGAAUCUCUCUCUCUUUCUCCUUUAAAUUCGUUUUUGAUGAGCUGUGUGGCUGGGAUUCAAAACUUGGACAGUAGAGAGUGUAGAUGAAGUAUGUAUUCAAAAUCUGUGAGUUUCUUUAAGAUGCAAGUCUUUAAAAGUUUUUUUUUAAUCAAUGACUCUCCCCUUUAUCUCCUCAUUGUUUAAGCCUUUGGAUGAAAGAUUAAAAUCUGUUCAUGUCAGCUUGAGGGAGGGAGAAAAGAUUAAACUUGUAUCUUGAAGAACUCUUGAAAAGAAAAAAAAAAUCGAUUUCAAAAAUAUUUUUGUGUUCUUCAUCUUGUCUAAUGAUUUCUUUAAAGAAGACAAGAUGGAGUUCUGUUUUGGUUUCUUCUCUCCCAUGUGUAAGCUGUGGUUCUGAUCUUGAGUUGGGAUCCUAAUCCAAGGCUAAGGGAGAGAAAUGAAACAAAAGACUUCAUCUGUUUUGUGCUUUAAAAACAGUUUUAAAAGAUGAAGUUCUUGCUGGUUUUGUCUCAAACAUUAUCAUCCUUUUCUACCCUUUGUCUCUUAAUAUUUUCAAACUUGGUAAAAGGCUUUAAGUCUAAUGAAACCAAUGCUUGAGGGAGGGAGAAAGAUUGAUGAUGAUUUGAAGAAAAUUGAUUUGUAAGAGCAUUUGAAUUUCAGAUUUAAAGAAAAGCUCUUUGAAAGGAUUUAAAAAAAAAAAAUCUGAAAAUGUUUUGAACAGAUUCUUGAGUAAUCUGAUUUCGAAAAUGCUUUAAAAAUGUGUUAACUGGUGGGAUGUUCAUGCCUCACCAGCAUUGUGAUCAGCCAUGAAGCUUGAAGGCCAUGGACUGCAAUCUGCUUCCGCAAAACUCUCAUUCUCCUCCAUACUCUUACUCUCCAUUAU